GAAUAUUGGACAAUGGGCGAAAGCCUGAUCCAGCCAUGCCGCGUGAGUGAUGAAGGCCCUAGGGUUGUAAAGCUCUUUCAGCGGGGAAGAUAAUGACGGUACCCGCAGAAGAAGCCCCGGCUAACUUCGUGCCAGCAGCCGCGGUAAUACGAAGGGGGCUAGCGUUGUUCGGAAUUACUGGGCGUAAAGCGCACGUAGGCGGAUCAGCAAGUUAGGGGUGAAAUCCCGGGGCUCAACCCCGGAACUGCCUUUAAAACUGUUGAUCUCGAGUUCGGGAGAGGUGAGUGGAAUUCCGAGUGUAGAGGUGAAAUUCGUAGAUAUUCGGAGGAACACCAGUGGCGAAGGCGGCUCACUGGCCCGAAACUGACGCUGAGGUGCGAAAGCGUGGGGAGCAAAC
rnacentral:rRNA from 1 species